UCGAACGGCGGACUUUUCGCUUCUUCAUAUAUUUGUAUAUAUACAAACAUAUAUUACAUAUACAAUUUUUUUUGUUUUUUUGUUUCGUGUGCCGCGAUCGAACGCAGAGCUUGUCCGCACGUUCGUUUGCGCGCUCGUCUUCACGUUUGUUGUGCGGCCGAGCGAGCGCAGAGACUCGAUAAAUACAGAAAA